rnacentral:rRNA from 1 species
AUGCUGCGCCGGCUUCAGCGUGUCGGUGCCCAGGUGAUUGCUGCCCUGUGGCCGGACAUGCAGGCUCCGCGCACCCCCAGCCUGACGGCCGACUGGCUAGAGGUCGCGGCUGGUCAUCUUGAGGCCUGGAAGGGUUCUUCGGCCCGAGCUGGAGCGCGCCGGACCUUGGAGUUCGUCAAGGCGUGGUAUCCGGGGCUGGAUCUAGACCGGCUGGCCACACUUCGGUCGGAGGCCCAGCCGGAGCUGGCAGCUGCCGAAGACGCCCUCGUCAAAUGUGUUGCGACGAUCGCCGAGUACACCGACACCAGCAUCUUCGUCCCCGAGCGGUCUGAAGACGGCGAGGAGGUACCGCCGGAGUGGUUUGGGAUGAACCCAGACUACGACGAGGACUCGGCGGAGGUGAUUGGCUCCAGCGUCGAGGAGGAAGGCGAGGCGGAGGACGGAGGCGAGACGGAGGCACCAGAAGACGGAGCAGAUGGCCAGCCUCAGCUCGACCGCGCCUCCAGCAACGAGCCGCGUGCGACCGAGCCGACUACCGCCGGAGGCGAUCAAGCCGAGACUACCCAGCCGGCCGUCCCGACGCCUGACGCUGCCGCCUCCUCCGACCCUCCAAAUCCGUCUGCUGCUUACUAA